rnacentral:rRNA from 1 species
GUUGUUGAAGUAGCUGGAAUAAGUAGUGUAGCGGUGAAAUGCAUAGAUAUUACUUAGAACACCAAUUGCGAAGGCAGGUUACUAAGCAACAACUGACGCUGAUGGACGAAAGCGUGGGGAGCGAACAGGAUUAGAUACCCUGGUAGUCCACGCCGUAAACGAUGCUAACUCGUUUUUGGGGCCUUGAGCUUCAGAGACUAAGCGAAAGUGAUAAGUUAGCCACCUGGGGAGUACGUUCGCAAGAAUGAAACUCAAAGGAAUUGACGGGGGCCCGCACAAGCGGUGGAUUAUGUGGUUUAAUUCGAUGAUACGCGAGGAACCUUACCAAGGCUUAAAUGGGAAUUGACAGGUUUAGAAAUAGACUUUUCUUCGGACAAUUUUCAAGGUGCUGCAUGGUUGUCGUCAGCUCGUGCCGUGAGGUGUUAGGUUAAGUCCUGCAACGAGCGCAACCCCUGUCACUAGUUGCCAUCAUUCAGUUGGGGACUCUAGUGAGACUGCCUUCGCAAGUAGAGAGGAAGGUGGGGAAGACGUCAAAUCAUCACGGCCCUUACGCCUUGGGCCACACACGUAAUACAAUGGCCAGUACAGAGGGCAGGUACACAGCGAUGUGAUGCAAAUCUCGAAAGCUGGUCUCAGUUCGGAUUGGAGUCUGCAACUCGACUCUAUGAAGCUGGAAUCGCUAGUAAUCGCGCAUCAGCCAUGGCGCGGUGAAUACGUUCCCGGGCCUUGUACACACCGCCCGUCAAGCCAUGGAAGUCUGGGGUACCUGAAGUCGGUG